rnacentral:rRNA from 1 species
GCAUAUCAAUAAGCGGAGGAAAAGAAACUAACAAGGAUUCCCCUAGUAACUGCGAGUGAAGCGGGAAAAGCUCAAAUUUAAAAUCUGACAGUCUUUGGCUGUCCGAGUUGUAGUCUGGAGAAGCGUUUUCCGCGCUGGACCGUGUACAAGUCUCUUGGAACAGAGCGUCAUAGAGGGUGAGAAUCCCGUCUUUGACACGGACUACCAGUGCUUUGUGAUGCGCUCUCAAAGAGUCGAGUUGUUUGGGAAUGCAGCUCAAAAUGGGUGGUAAAUUCCAUCUAAAGCUAAAUAUUGGCGAGAGACCGAUAGCGAACAAGUACCGUGAGGGAAAGAUGAAAAGCACUUUGGAAAGAGAGUUAAACAGUACGUGAAAUUGCUGAAAGGGAAACGCUUGAAGUCAGUCGCGUCGUCUAGAACUCAACCUGGCUUUGCUUGGUGCAUUUUCUAGUUGACGGGCCAACAUCAGUUUUGACUACUGGAAAAAAGCCUUUGGAAUGUGGCACCUACGGGUGUGUUAUAGCCUUGGGUUGUAUACAGUGGUUGGGACUGAGGACCGCAGCACGCCUUAUGGCCGGGGUUCGCCCACGUACGUGCUUAGGAUGUUGGCGUAAUGGCUUUAAGCGACCCGUCUUGAAACACGGACC